rnacentral:lncRNA from 10 species
CAGGGAAGCCUGUGAACAGAAAGAGCUCCUGAGACUACACCUGCUUUUAAUUUGGUGUCAGUAGGAACGAUGGAGAUGAAAACCUCAUCAAGACCAGCACGGAUUUGGGAAUCACCAAUAGAGUCAACCCCUCACUCUAAGAUGAGGAAACUAAGGCCCCCUAAGGUGAACUGUGAACUGAAUUGAUGAAAGCUGGGAUCAAAGCCCAGAUCUCUGGGCUCCUUGUCUGGUAUUUAUCUUCCCUGCUUUCUUCAUAAUUAAAUUCAGUGUAAUGACGCAGACGUAGAGCAAGAUCCUGGAGUGUCUUCUUAAUCAUCAAAUAUUGUCCUC